UCAAGGAAACAUGGAUUCCAGAGUUGAGGUCAAACUCGUUUGGUGGGCCUCACCUCCUCCUCACUGUCCAGGGGAGAGGCUAGUUGCUCCUCUUUCUGCCUCCUUUCUGCCUCCUCAUUUUUCUAGGCUCUUCCUAGCAUCUACCAGCCUAGCUCAGGUUGAUCCUUAACCAGAAUACUGUGUUUCUCUAUUAUCCCUCCUUCCCAACACCCAUCCCGGAGACUUAUAGCAGUCACGUUCUAGGGGUUCCUGGGCCCUGACCUCUGUCUUCCUUGGACCCUACCUUCCAUCCCUUCUGGUCUGUCCCUUCCCUGCGCCAACCUGGGCAUUUGUAGAGCUUCCGGGCCUGAGCGAUGUCCCCCUUGCUGAGUCGGGUCCUUUGGCCAAUGGAAGGCUUCACCCCAUUCACCUCAUACUUGGGAACAAUGGUGUCCAAGAAGAUGCCCCUAAGAAGGACAUGAGGAGACUGAGGACGUCCUGAGCUGGAAGAAAGGGUCAGGAGGAGCAUAGAAGGAAGGGAGGAAAGCCACCACCCAGAUGGGGACAUGGGUGCAGGAAAGCCAGUCCAGGAAGGGGUGUGAGGAGAGGUGGGAACAUUCCUCCUAGUCCUGCAGGAGGGGUCUUCUCCUAUCAAGCCCUGGUUAAGAAGAUAUCCUGUGAACUGGCUAUGGGGACCAGUCCAGGGCAAAAGUCAAGCUUUGUGCAAAGUAGCCAGUCACAAAAUAGACCAAGCCGGUCCUGCUCUAUGACCUCUGCUGAAGCAAGACAAUCAAGCGUUCAAGGUCUGCAGGUUGGCGGGGCAGCUCAGUGGCCAAGACACUUGCCACCAAGGCCAAUAAAUGGAGUUUGAUCUCCAGAA